GGGCCCAUAGCUCAGUUGGUCAGAGCGGGGGACUCAUAAUCCCUAGGUCCCAGGUUCGAGUCCUGGUGGGCCCA
rnacentral:tRNA from 1 species